UGGGGAAUUUUGGACAAUGGGCGAAAGCCUGAUCCAGCAAUGCCGCGUGUGUGAAGAAGGCCUUCGGGUUGUAAAGCACUUUUGUCCGGAAAGAAAUGGCACUGGUUAAUACCUGGGGUCGAUGACGGUACCGGAAGAAUAAGGACCGGCUAACUACGUGCCAGCAGCCGCGGUAAUACGUAGGGGCCAAGCGUUAAUCGGAAUUACUGGGCGUAAAGCGUGCGCAGGCGGUUGUGCAAGACCGAUGUGAAAUCCCCGUGCUUAACUUGGGAAUUGCAUUGGUGACUGCACGGCUAGAGUGUGUCAGAGGGGGGUAGAAUUCCACGUGUAGCAGUAAAAUGCGUAGAGAUGUGGAGGAAUACCGAUGGCGAAGGCAGCCCCCUGGGAUAACACUGACGCUCAUGCACGAAAGCGUGGGGAGCAAACAGG
rnacentral:rRNA from 1 species